AGCAGGGUCAGGCAGCCAGGAAAGACCAGUCUGUGACAGAGGACAAAGUAAUUCCUGCACCACUCUACAAGCUGGUCUAUUCUUAAUCAGUAGUGGUUCGGUUGGCUGUUCAGGACCAAGGUGAGAUGGGAUCGGGAGGGAUCAGUGACCCUCAGACAGGAUCUCUAUGACCAGUGAAGAAGAACAACUGCGGGCUGUUUCCAGUGAUUCCUGCCUACGCAGCUG